rnacentral:rRNA from 1 species
CCUACGGGAGGCAGCAGUGGGGAAUAUUGCACAAUGGGCGAAAGCCUGAUGCAGCAACGCCGCGUGAGCGAUGAAGGCCUUCGGGACGUAAAGCUCUGUCCUCAAGGAAGAUAAUGACGGUACUUGAGGAGGAAGCCCCGGCUAACUACGUGCCAGCAGCCGCGGUAAUACGUAGGGGGCUAGCGUUAUCCGGAAUUACUGGGCGUAAGGGGUGCGUAGGUGGUUUCUAAAGUCAGAGGUGAAAGGCUACGGCUAAACCAUAGUAAGCCUUUGAAACUGGGGAACUUGAGUGCAGGAGAGGAGAGUGGAAUUCCUAGUGUAGCGGUGAAAUGCGUAGAUAUUAGGAGGAACACCAGUGGCGAAGGCGGCUCUCUGGACUGUAACUGACACUGAGGCACGAAAGCGUGGGGAGCAAACAGGAUUAGAUACCCCUGUAGUC